CUCACCAAAUUAAGGAUCCUGGAUAUUUAUGACUGCCCACAGUUAGAAGAAAGUUGCACCAAUAGGAGAAGCCCAAACUCCCAGUGGUCCAACAUUUCCCAUAUUCCAAAAAUUAUAGUAGGUCUGUGGGUAAUUCAGGAGUCAGGACAGUAAGUCUCUGUUACUCUUUCAGUUUCUGAGUUUUAAUACUACUUUUUUUACUGCUAUCAAUUACAUCUGUGCUAUGCUUCCAGCAUUUUGCUUGUCAACUUGAACCGAAUUGUUCUUCUUCUAAUUCUUCAAGUAUGUCAUAUCUCCAUAUGAUUUAAUCAUGAAUGAAAAAUUAUGGAUUUUUUCCUUAUAGGUUACUAGCUCCAAGGUAACGUUGCUGUGGUAAAUCAAGCCAAAUCCUAUGAGCAGCAGGCAAUUACUUUAGGUAAAUUUUCAUUUAGGUAAUCUACUAGUUUUUUGUCUUUCUCUUUGUUGGGGACCAAUUUUUGGAGUUCUAUGCUGAUGAAUACAACAUUACCUUCCUAAAAAAGAUGUUUUAAUCAUGAAAAUUUAUGUUUCUGCUCAGAGGUUACUAGGUACAAGGUCAUGGUAGAACGUGGUUGUGGUAUAUCAAGUCAAAAUCCAUGAACAGCAAUCGCCUUAGGUAUUUUUAUUUAGUUGUUAUAGGAAUGCUAUAACAAGUUUGUCAAGUUCCUUUUUUCUCAUGAUACUACUUUACUGUUUAACAGGAUUUGUUAUGUUUCAUAGAGGAAUCACCACUGUUAUUUUGAAGAACACAAUCUUCAGCUAUAGACUCAUUACGGAGCACUUUUUCACAAGUAUUUGGGUACUGAACAACCUUUUCGGGAACUGAAGUCUACAUAUGAAACAUCAAAAAACUCAAAGUGUAUAGGGUCCUCAAUGAGAAGCUACACUGGUCUAUCCUCUGUCUUUGCAUGGCCGUGUUUGUCUUUUUAUUAUCCAUGUAAGUUUCUGCAAUGUUAUUUGAUGAAUAAAUUCUGAUAUCUACUCUCAUUGGGACAUUGGUAUUUAACUUUCUAUGUAAUUGUGGAACUAUUAGAAUGUAAGCUGUUUUAUCCCUUUUGCCAGAGCUUCAUUCUUCAUAAAUUCAGUGUUUUACUUUCUCACAGUAUUAAUGUCUGACCCUCCCCUCUCCCAACCGGUACGAAAUAAGAAAAAUCUCAGUAUUUGUCAUACCUAUUCAGGUGCUAUGAUGAAGAUGACAGAAGCAAUGGAUGGUUGGUGCCAUUGAAAUCUGUUUGUGAGGUAUUCAUGACUUGCAGCUCAAUUGAUUGUAUCCAUGGAGGUUGUUGUGGUUUAAAUGCACUAUUAACUGCACCUCACUGUCAUGCCAGCCACGUCUUAUUCUCCUAGAUUCCUUUGGAUAAGAAAACUGCUCAUUCUCUUCAAGUAUAGAGAAGCAUUCAGUGGCUUAUCAUAACUGGUAAAUGUAGAGAAGGAAUAAUUGUCUUUCUGCCAUGUGAAUUUUCAUAUUUUAUGGUACAAGGUUCCUUUUUUAUUGACUAAUUGAUGAAACGCUAGAGGUAACAGAACCAUUUCACUGAAAGCCACUAACAUAAGCUUUGAUGCAAGACAGAUUUGAGUGCGCUCUGUCCAUUGGAUUGAAGGAUUCUCUGUUCUGCUUAUUGAACCACGAUUUCCAUGUAAGCUUCUUCUAAAGAAAAAACUGACCGAAAUGUCAUGAGACUUGUAUAGCUAGUAGAACUUCUCCAGUUUUUGUUGACUGCAUUCAACAAUAUUCCUUUUUCCUUUUUAAUUUUCAGGGGACAGAUUGGAACAUUUUGCUUCAGUGGUGACUGUGGUUAGUAGAGAGGUCUAUAUAAGUUUCUUAAUAGACAUUCUCGUUACUUUCACUUUCAUUAAAACUCUCGCGAUUGAAGGACUUCAACAAAGAAAGUUACAAAAGACUGCUAUUUAUUGAAUCUUAUAGCAAAGAGUGCCCCCAUUGGCUCUAAAAAUGUCCUUAAUAGCAUCUGUUCAUCUUUAUAGAUCUUAUAAUGAGCUGAUUUUCCAUUCAUGAAGAUCAAAAUGUGUGUGAAAACUGACUUUUACUGUUUCAGAUUGAUGGUUGAAACAACGGCAUGGACCUCUUAUCUAAAUCGUAGACUGGAAAAGAUUUGACAGCAGAGGCCUUUCUUGCACAAUGUUCAUGCUGUCCCUGCCUUUCUUACAGCCCUCUUGGCUUUUGUUUGUGCAUAAUAAACAAAAAAAAGUAAUAUUGCUUUAAUGUUUGUCUUAAUUGAUUGAUGUUUCAUGCUAGUAAUUAGUAAAUAUUCUUUGCAAAAUACUUCAUAUGCUAAAGCAAAUAUCAAUUAAGCUCAAUUAAUCUAAAGUUGAAAAGCC
rnacentral:lncRNA from 1 species